rnacentral:rRNA from 1 species
UACGUAGGGUGCGAGCGUUGUCCGGAAUUAUUGGGCGUAAAGAGCUCGUAGGCGGUUUGUUGCGUCGGCUGUGAAAUCCCGAGGCUCAACCUCGGGUCUGCAGUCGAUACGAGCAAACUAGAGUGUUGCAGGGGAGACUGGAAUUCCUGGUGUAGCGGUGAAAUGCGCAGAUAUCAGGAGGAACACCGGUGGCGAAGGCGGUUCUCUGGGCAUUACCUGACGCUGAGGAGCGAAAGUGUGGGGAGCGAACAGG